rnacentral:rRNA from 1 species
UACGGAGGAUCCAAGCGUUAUCCGGAAUCAUUGGGUUUAAAGGGUCCGUAGGCGGUUUGGUAAGUCAGUGGUGAAAGCCCAUCGCUCAACGGUGGAACGGCCAUUGAUACUGCCAGACUUGAAUUAUUAGGAAGUAACUAGAAUAUGUAGUGUAGCGGUGAAAUGCUUAGAGAUUACAUGGAAUACCAAUUGCGAAGGCAGGUUACUACUAAUGGAUUGACGCUGAUGACGAAAGCAUGGGUAGCGAACAGG